rnacentral:lncRNA from 1 species
GUUCUUAGAGCGUGGUCAUUGAUUCCAGAGUGAGCAGUCUCCUCUCCUUUCCGCUCUGUUAGGGUUGCAGAGAGACACUGGGAAGGAGAGAUUAGAAUAGGAGAGUCUCCGCUGAUUCUGUUUGUUUGAAGGCAUUCCCCCCCUCUCUCUCUCUCUCUCUCUCUCUCUCUCUCUCUCUCUCUCUCUCUCUCUUUCUUUCUUUGUUGUCUCUCUCUCUUUUCUCUCUGUCUCUGUCUCUCUCUCUCUCUCUCUCUCUCUCUCUCUCUCUGUCUCCCUGUCUCCCUCAGUCUGGUACCCUGUUCAAGAGUGAAUACCACAGACUAAGACAUAGGACCAUGACUGGGGAACUGAGGCCAAGUCGCCCAAAGGCAGGAACCAAGAGAGCCAGCAGUGAGGCCUUCGGAUCUGACUAUGACCUGGAGUAUGACAGCUAUCCAGAUUACCUCUACAACAGAUUCACGGAGGAGAGGAAGAAAGUCUUCGACGACCCUCCGUCAAGGCCCCCAUAGUGUUGCUGAGAUGGCAUGUGAGUUUCGCCCCCUCACCGCUGAGAGCAGCUGGAAUGAGGAGGUCCUUCAGGGAGCAUUCCAGAACGGGCUCACGGAGACCCUCAAGGACGUGUUGGUAUACCGGGAUGAGCCUGAUGGACUUGAUGAACUCAUCUCUCUUGCUAUCCGCAUCAACAACCGUCUCCAUGAGUGUCGGAUGGAGAGGACAGGUAGGGUUGCAUGCCCCAUACCAUCUGCUUCAUUGCCUUGUUCUCCUUCUCCCACUGCAUCCCAUCCCAAGGCUCUUCCAGAUCCUGAACCCAUGUAGCUUGGCCGGACCCGUCUCUCUCCAGAGGAGAGGCAACAACGAAUCAGCGCUAGGAGCUGCCUAUACUGUGGCCAGGUUGGUCACUUUGUCUCCACUUGUUCCUUGUGCCCAGCAAAAGAGGGGGCUCUGCAGUAGUGGGGGAUAUACUGUUGAGCCAAAUUGCCUGCCCGUCUUCCCCCAGACCCCUGCUUGAAGGCAACCUUGUGUGGCAGAGCCAGGCUUUUCCUCUGUCUGUUCUCAUCGAUUCGGGCGCUGACGAGAGCUUCCUGGACCGAGGUGUCGUUACCCAGUUUGGCCUGGACACUGUCCCACUCGAUUCACCCCUCGAUGCCAACGCUCUCAAUGGAAAGCUCCUCGCCCGUGUCUGUGAGAGAACCGUCCCUGUCAUCCUGCGUCUCUCUGGAAAUCACCCGGAAAAGAUCAGUUUCCACAUAAUCAACUGUCCUUACACUCUCCUGGUUCUUGGCCAUCCCAUGGUUAAAACUACAUAACCCACAGAUUGACUGGACCGCUGGGAAUGUAACCACUUGGAGUUCAUUUUGUCACUGUAAUUGUCUACAUUCUGCCCUUCCGCCUGCCUUUUCUGUGCCCCAGUUCAUUCCAGAACCUCCGGACCUGUCAUCAGUUCCUCCAGAGUAUCACAAUCUAGCUCCUGUUUUCAGCAAGCAUCACGCCCUGUCGCUGCCGCCUCAUCGGCUGUACGACUGCACCAUUGACUUCCAGCCUGGAGCUCCUCUCCCCAGUAGCCAGUUGUUUAAGCUCUCACCUGCAGAGAUGAAUUUUGACAUAGGAAACUGGGAACUCCUGGCAGUUAAGCUGGCUCUUGAGGAAUGGCGUCACUGGCUGGAGGGCACUGUACCCCCCUUCAUUGCAUGGAUUGACCAUAAAAACCUGUCCUACAUCCAGACCGCCAAAUGUCUGAACUCCCGGCAAGCCAGGAGGGCCUUGUUCUUCGGUAGAUUCAAUUUCACACUCACUUAUCGCUCCGGUUUGAAGAAUACCAAUCCUUAUGCCCUCUCUUGCCAGUUCACCACCGACAACACGGGUACCGAGCCAGAAGCCAUUGUGCCAUCCACCUGCAUUGUUGCCGCCAUCGCCUGAGAGAUCGAGUCCUGUAUCCGCCAGGCUCAGCAGAACCAGCCUGACCCGGGUAGUGGUCCUAGUAAUGCUCUGUUUGUUCCAGAUUGUGUUCUUCAGUGGGGCCAUUCUACCCACCUCACCUGUCACCUUGGUAUGAACCGGACCCUUGCCUUCCUGCGUCAGCGCUUUUAGUGGUCCACCAUAGAAAGCGAUGUCCGGGAGUUUGUCUCAGCCUGUUCGAUUUGUGCCCAGAACAAAACCUCCACUAAACCCACUUCUGGUCUGCUUCGCCCUAUUCCCAUACCCAGUCGACCCUGGUCACACAUAGCUCUGGACUUCGUCACUGGCCUACCCCCAUCUAAUUCUAACUCCGUCAUCCUCACCAUUAUUGACAGUUUUUCCAAAAUGGCUCACUUCAUUCCCCUCUCCAAGCUCCCAUCCUCCAGGGAGACUGCGGACCUGUUAGUAUCCCAUGUGUUUCAUCUGCAUGGCAUUCCCACUGACAUCAUUUCCGACAGAGGACCCCAGUUUACCUCCUAGGUAUGGAGAUCCUUCUGUUCAGCUCUUGGUACCAAUGUCAGUCUUUCUUCUGGAUAUCAUCCCCAGACCAAAAGCCAGACCGAACGGGUCAACCAAGAGAUGGAGAAUGCCCUACGCUGCGUAACUUCUGCUAACCCUUACUCCUGGAGCGACCAGCUACCCUGGGUUGAAUAUGCCCACAACACCCUCACCAACACCUCGUCAGGUAUGUCACCCUUCGAGUGUGCUCUGGGUUAUCAACCCCCCUUGUUCCCCGCCCAAGAGGUUGAGGUUGCGGUUCCCUCUGUCCA